GCCUUUGCACUGAGCUACACUCUCAGUUCUUGUUUAAACUUUUGUUUUAUUUUGAGUAGGGUCUCUCCAAGUUGCUAAGUCACCAAAGUGGGACUUGAAUUUGUAAUUCCCCCACCUUAGUGCUGAGGUUAAGUAUGUGUACUACCACUCUUGGCUCUAAGUAAUUUUUUUUGGUACUAGGGGUGGAGCUCAGGACCUUGUGCUUGCUGGGCAGGCACUGCACUGCUAAACUAUGGCCCCAGCCCUUAAAUAGUGCAUUUUCUAAGUCUUUCAAUGUAUGGCAUAACUUUCUCUCACUUUCAUACAUAAACAUCACUCAGAAUAAAGGUGGAAUGAAAAAAGUAGGAUCCAGUAGAAUGGGAAUGCAAUGGGAUGAAAUAGAAUAGAGAAGAGAAGAAACCAAAGGAGAGAGGAAGAAAAGAAAGAAGAAAAAAAAAGGGAAAAGAGAGAAGAGGAAAGAGGGAAGAGGAGGAAGAGGAGGGGAGUAGGGAGGAGGGAAGAGGAAAGUGUCACACUUCAUCUCACCCAGCAAGACUGCAAGGGCCUUACAGGGAGGUCCACAGUUGCUGCUGCUUCCUUGCUACUGUCUAAAGGCUCCAGACCCAGAAUCAUAUGGGCAAUGACCAAAGGAAGAACCCAGGCCUGGCUGGACCAGCAAGCGGGUCCACCUGGAGCCAGAACAGAUCCUCCCACAUGAAGUGUGAAAGGAAGCAUCUUGCAGCUCCGUCUAAUUACAGGAUGAGAGAGCUUAGAGCCAGCAGAGGGAAGUGACUUGGCCAACAUCAGGGGUUCAGCAGCAUGGUGAUGAAUUUCCUGACUCCCCAGCCACUGUCUAUUCUCUUGUUCUUACGCCUCCAGCAUGCUGUGCUGUAGUCCUGUCCAGAUCCAGGCAUGUGACGGAUCCAAGGGCCUUGGGCUGGUCAUAACGGGCAGACCCCCAGUCUGGAGUCUAUGGCAUGAUCCCCCACAGGCUCUGUUUGUGUUCCUGUUGCCACUGUCUACAUGAUUGGGGUUUGACUGCUCCCUGGUGCCCAAGUUCCAUCUAGAGCUGCCUUUCCUUCCACUCUGCCAUUGUCUGAGGAUCCCACUGGAAGCAAUUCAGACUUCAAUCUUUCAGUAACAACCAUCUGGAAUAACAUGAAAAAAAAAUAAAUAAAAAUAAAAACCCAAACUGGAGCUCUGCCUGUUAGCCCAGAGUCCUUAGUUAAGGGAGGAGG